rnacentral:rRNA from 1 species
AUACGGAGGGUGCGAGCGUUGUUCGGAAUCACUGGGCGUAAAGCGCGUGUAGGCUGACGGUCAAGUCCGAUGUGAAAUCCCCAGGCUUAACUUGGGAACUGCAUUGGAAACUGAUCGUCUUGAGUACGGGAGAGGGAAGUGGAAUUCCUAAUGUAGAGGUGAAAUUCGUAGAUAUUAGGAGGAACACCGGUGGCGAAGGCGGCUUCCUGGACCGAUACUGACGCUGAGACGCGAAAGCGUGGGGAGCAAACAGGAUUAGAUACCCUGGUAGUCCACGCCGUAAACGAUGAGUGCUAGGUGUUGGGGGUAUUGACCCCUCCAGUGCCGACGCUAACGCAUUAAGCACUCCGCCUGGGGAGUACGGUCGCAAGACUAAA